GAUGAACGCUAGCUACAGGCUUAACACAUGCAAGUCGAGGGGUAACGAGAGGAAAGCUUGCUUUCCUUGUCGACGACCGGCGCACGGGUGAGUAACGCGUAUCCAACCUGCCCCCAACUAGGGAAUAACCUUGCGAAAGUAAGACUAAUACCCUAUAAUUUCCUCAGAUGUCAUCUGACGAGGAAUAAAGAUUUAUCGGUUGUGGAUGGGGAUGCGUCUGAUUAGCUUGUUGGCGGGGUAACGGCCCACCAAGGCAACGAUCAGUAGGGGUUCUGGGAGGAAGGUCCCCCACAUUGGAACUGAGACACGGUACAAACUCCUACGGGAGGCAGCAGUGAGGAAUAUUGGUCAAUGGGCGGAAGCCUGAACCAGCCAAGUAGCGUGCAGGAUGACGGCCCUAUGGGUUGUAAACUGCUUUUAUACAGGGAUAAAGUUAGCCACGUGUGGCUAUUUGUAGGUACUGUAUGAAUAAGGACCGGCUAAUUCCGUGCCAGCCGCCGCCGUAA
rnacentral:rRNA from 1 species